UGCACACACAAACCACUGAAAGUAGAUCUGAAAGUGGAGCAUCGAAUGACUGAGCUGGAUUUGAAGUGAUCGAAAAUCUGGUUUUGGUGGAGCGUCUGCGGUUUUCGGGCCGGCCUGAAAUGAACUUAAGAAUUUGAAAUUUCAGCUAUC
ensembl:ncRNA C02E7.16 ncRNA